UGAGUUGGCCAGGCAAUCGCCGCUUUAUUCAUACUUGUAUGUUUUAGAGGGGAGGAAAGUCCGGGCUCCACAGGGCAGGGUGCCAGAUAACGUCUGGGCGGCGUAAGCCGACGACAAGUGCAGCAGAGAGAAGACCGCCAGGUGUUUACACUUGGUAAGGGUGAAAGGGUGCGGUAAGAGCGCACCGCGUCGCUGGCAACAGUUGACGGCAAGGUAAACUCCACCCGGAGCAAGACCAAAUAGGUUCCCUUAUGGCGCGGCCCGCGUUGGGAACGGGUAGGUUGCUUGAGCCAAUGAGCGAUUAUUGGCCUAGACGAAUGAUUGUCCAAGACAGAACCCGGCUUACCGGCCAACUCAACUU
rfam:Glaciecola nitratireducens FR1064, complete genome.